rnacentral:rRNA from 1 species
UACGGGGGGGGCAAGCGUUGUUCGGAAUUACUGGGCGUAAAGGGCUUGUAGGCGGCCAACUAAGUCAGACGUGAAAUCCCUCGGCUUAACCGGGGAACUGCGUCUGAUACUGGAUGGCUUGAGUUCGGGAGAGGGAUGCGGAAUUCCAGGUGUAGCGGUGAAAUGCGUAGAUAUCUGGAGGAACACCGGUGGCGAAGGCGGGUCUCUGGGCAAUUCCUGACGCUGAGGCGCGAAAGCGUGGGGAGCAAACGGG